rnacentral:Y_RNA from 1 species
GGCCAGUCCAAGUGCAGUGGUGUUUACAACUGAUUGGUCACAACCAGUUACAGAUUCCUUUGUUCCCUCUCCACUCCCACUGUUUCACUUGACUAGCCUUUA